rnacentral:lncRNA from 1 species
CGAAAACGACUGUGCAGCAGCCAGCACCUAUUCAUAUUUGCUCUUCUUUUCUCACUCUUUUCUUCUUUCCUCAUACUAUUAUUAUAAAAUAAAAAUGAAUAGUAUUUAGUAUUAUUUAUUACUUUCUAUAUAUUCUCCGGAAACAAUGUCUUUCACUCUGAUUUCAUAAUCUUCUCUUCUGUUCCUUCUGCUUUGUCUUUCUC